GGAGUUAGCCGGUGCUUCUUCUGCGAGUAACGUCACAGAUGUAAGGUAUUAACUUACACCCUUUCCUCCUCGCUGAAAGUGCUUUACAACCCGAAGGCCUUCUUCACACACGCGGCAUGGCUGCAUCAGGGUUUCCCCCAUUGUGCAAUAUUCCCCACUGCUGCCUCCCGUAGGAGUCUGGGCCGUGUCUCAGUCCCAGUGUGGCUGAUCAUCCUCUCAGACCAGCUAGGGAUCGUCGCCUAGGUGAGCCUUUACCUCACCUACUAGCUAAUCCCACCUGGGCUUAUCCAUCAGCGCAAGGCCCGAAGGUCCCCUGCUUUCCCCCGUAGGGCGUAUGCGGUAUUAGCAGUCGUUUCCAACUGUUAUCCCCCACAAAUGGGCAAAUUCCCAGGCAUUACUCACCCGUCCGCCGCUCGUCAUCUUCAAAAGCAAGCUUUUGAAAUGUUACCGCUCGACUUGCAUGUGUUAGGCCUGCCGCCAGCGUUCAAUCUGAGCCAGAUCAACUACUGA
rnacentral:rRNA from 1 species